CAGGUGUCGAGCUUGAGGUGUAGUUUCUACACACUACCUCAGGUUCUCAUUUUACACCUGAAGAGGUUUUGCCCCUUCACCCUCACCAAAAGCAUGGCACCGCUUCAGCUGGAGGCAGAGCUCCAGAUCAAACAAAGGACUGAGGACAUUGCAGGAAGGUGUGGCGAGUCCCCUCAGGUUGCGGCCCCCAGUGCAGGAUCAGGCUGCUGCCCUGCAGCCACCUCUACUCUGGGGGGGGCGUCUUCCUCUGAAG